CGUACCUUUUGUAUAAUGGGUCAGCGACUUAUAUUCUGUAGCAAGGUUAACCGAAUAGGGGAGCCGAAGGGAAACCGAGUCUUAACUGGGCGUUAAGUUGCAGGGUAUAGACCCGAAACCCGGUGAUCUAGCCAUGGGCAGGUUGAAGGUUGGGUAACACUAACUGGAGGACCGAACCGACUAAUGUUGAAAAAUUAGCGGAUGACUUGUGGCUGGGGGUGAAAGGCCAAUCAAACCGGGAGAUAGCUGGUUCUCCCCGAAAGCUAUUUAGGUAGCGCCUCGUGAAUUCAUCUCCGGGGGUAGAGCACUGUUUCGGCAAGGGGGUCAUCCCGACUUACCAACCCGAUGCAAACUGCGAAUACCGGAGAAUGUUAUCACGGGAGACACACGGCGGGUGCUAACGUCCGUCGUGAAGAGGGAAACAACCCAGACCGCCAGCUAAGGUCCCAAAGUCAUGGUUAAGUGGGAAACGAUGUGGGAAGGCCCAGACAGCCAGGAUGUUGGCUUAGAAGCAGCCAUCAUUUAAAGAAAGCGUAAUAGCUCACUGGUCGAGUCGGCCUGCGCGGAAGAUGUAACGGGGCUAAACCAUGCACCGAAGCUGCGGCAGCGACACUAUGUGUUGUUGGGUAGGGGAGCGUUCUGUAAGCCUGUGAAGGUGUACUGUGAGGUAUGCUGGAGGUAUCAGAAGUGCGAAUGCUGACAUAAGUAACGAUAAAGCGGGUGAAAAGCCCGCUCGCCGGAAGACCAAGGGUUCCUGUCCAACGUUAAUCGGGGCAGGGUGAGUCGACCCCUAAGGCGAGGCCGAAAGGCGUAGUCGAUGGGAAACAGGUUAAUAUUCCUGUACUUGGUGUUACUGCGAAGGGGGGACGGAGAAGGCUAUGUUGGCCGGGCGACGGUUGUCCCGGUUUAAGCGUGUAGGCUGGUUUUCCAGGCAAAUCCGGAAAAUCAAGGCUGAGGCGUGAUGACGAGGCACUACGGUGCUGAAGCAACAAAUGCCCUGCUUCCAGGAAAAG
rnacentral:rRNA from 1 species